rnacentral:sRNA from 1 species
AAAAAAAAAGUAAAAAAAAA